rnacentral:rRNA from 1 species
GAAUCCGCUAAGGAGUGUGUAACAACUCACCUGCMGAAUGAAUUAGCCCUGAAAAUGGAUGGCGCUUAAGCGGAUGACCGACACCAUGCCGUCUGAAUGAUAUAUUUUCAGAUGAGUAGGAGGACGUGGUGAUUGUAACGAAGUAUGUGUGCGAACACGUAUAGAACGAUCACUAGUGCAGAUCUUGGUGGUAGUAGCAAAUAUUCAAGCGAGAUCCUUGAAGGGCGAAGCGGGGAAGGGUUCCACGCUAACAUUGAUUGGGCGUGGGUGAGUCGUUCCUAAGCCGAGUGGCAAUUGCUAAGUAACGGCGAAAGGGAAGCAGGUUUACAUUCCUGCACACGGAUGUGGAGGUGGUGACACUUUAUUGAGGCGAACACAUUGGCGAUGGCGCUAGGCAGAGUUGUCUUUUCUGUUUAACCGUUUGUAUAUAUUGUGUGGAGUCCGAUUAUCGGGAGAAACACAUAUAUACGGGCAGAGCGCCGGGGCUUAUCCGGCGUCUAGCUCGCCAUCGACGAUCCUUGAAACUUUGCCUGCUGAAUUUUUAAUAUCCACGCCGUGGCGUACCGAUCACCGCAUCAGGUCCCCGAGGUGAACAGCCUCUGCUCAAUAUGAAAAAUGCAGGUAAGGGAAGUCGGCA